rnacentral:rRNA from 1 species
GGGACCCGCACAAGCGGUGGAUGAUGUGGAUUAAUUCGACGCAACGCGAAGAACCUUACCAGGGCUUGACAUCUUCUGACCGCUUAAGGAAACUUAAGCUUUCCGGAAGGUUUACUUUCUGGACAGAAAGACAGGUGGUGCAUGGUUGUCGUCAGCUCGUGUCGUGAGAUGUUGGGUUAAGUCCCGCAACGAGCGCAACCCCUACGGUUAGUUGCUAACGGGUAAGGCCGAGCACUUUAGCCGAACUGCCGUUGACAAAACGGAGGAAGGCGGGAUGACGUCAAAUCAUCAUGCCCCUUAUGUCUUGGGCUUCACGCAUGCUACAAUGGCCGGUACAAAGGGCUGCGAUACCGCGAGGUGGAGCGAAUCCCAGAAAGCCGGUCUCAGUUCGGAUUGGGGUCUGCAACUCGACCCCAUGAAGUCGGAGUCGCUAGUAAUCGCAGAUCAGCAACGCUGCGGUGAAUACGUUCCCGGGCCUU